UGGAACACCUCCUUUCUAGAGACAAAAAAGAAAAUAGACCCUUACUCUCGCUGUUAAUUCAAAAAAAAAAGACUUAAAAUACAGAGUCUCGUAGCUCAGCUGGUUAGAGUACUACACUGAUAAUGUAGGGGUCGGCAGUUCGAGUCUGCCCGGGACUACAAACAAAUUUGAAAAUUGAUUAAUUUGAAAAUUUAAAAAAAUUAAGUUUAAAAGGAAAUUCUAGAAGCGAAUUUUGAAUUAUAAAUUUUAAAUCAUGAAUUUGAAAAAUAAUUCAAAAUAUAUAAAUCAACAUUCAAAAUAGAAAAAGAAUGGGGGAUUAGCUCAGCUGGCUAGAGCGCCUGCCUUGCACGCAGGAGGUCAUCGGUUCGACUCCGAUAUUCUCCACUAUUCGAGUGAAUAGUAAAAAGUAAAAAGUGAAAAGUUUUGACUAAUCACUGUUUACUAAUCACUUAUCACUAGAAAAAAGUUCAUUGACAUAUUGAGAUAAACAUACAAACAAGUAGAAAGAACACUUUAGUAAUUAGUACAGAGUCAAUAGUAAUUAGUCUUAGGGCUAGUCACUAAUUACUAAGAACUAAUCACUAAAAAAAAGAAAACAAUAAGCAAAAUAAGGGCGUAUGGGGGAUGCC
rnacentral:tRNA from 1 species